GUCGGCAUCGUCGAAAUAAUCAGCGGUACUGUUGAUGUGGUUUGCUAACCUCAUUUUCAAUUUUCAGCUCUGAGUUUUUGAACCGUUUUGUUGUUUAUUUACAAUUUGUGCGACCAAGAGUAAUUAUUAUUACUUAAUAUUAUCUUGUUGCCUUGUAAAUUCAAAACGCCACUUUAUAUUUACAUUAAUUUACUACACCUUUAUUUGGUGAACAUGGAUAUAAAUAAACACGGAUAAUAAAUUAAUAUGUGCAGAUUGUGGAAAGUAACUUUCUUCUACUUCAACUUUGUAUCGGCAUCGUAUGAGGGAUAUACAUAAUAAAAAACAUAGUGAAAAAGAGAGGAAACAUAUUAUUUGCCCCUUUUGGCUGGACAAAAACAUGAUAACAAACUUUACAUUCUAAGAUUCUUUAAUAAGACACUUUUCAUAGUAUUCAUAAUAAACAUAUUAAAUAAUCUGUUUUAAAUUUUAGGAAUUUGGCAGAGUUUGAAGGAAAACAGAGAGGUAGAUUAUGCUGUUCACCAAAGAAAGAAAUCUGCCAAUGGAUAAGAAUGUAUUUACUAUAAUUGUAAUACAAUACAAGUAAUUCAAAAGUUUUAGGAUAUGUCAGUACAUGUUUGCAACGGAAUUUAAAGUCUAAAGGAAGCAUUUGCAUUCAAGGACUUUGUCUAUCAAGAAUAAUACUUAAAAUGUUGGUAAAUGGACUGAUUUAAGUGAGAUUUUUUGAAACCCACAAAAGGCUAACAAAAUCGUAAUUAUUCAUAACGUAAUUAUGGUGGUGAAUUGGGUGAACAUGAUUUAGAAAAGUUUAUGGGUGAUUUUGGAAUUUUAUGCAGACAGUAAAGAAAAAAGAAAUGGUGAUGAGUAAAAAAGAUAAAAAUAGAAAAGCAGCAGUAUUAUCCCAACAAAUAACCUAAAUAAAUUUAUUUAUAACAAAAUGUUUAUAACUAUUUUAUUAUUGCAUGACAUUCCUUUCAUGAGUAUUCUGGUAUUGUACCUAAGUGGCGUUGGCUAUAUUUUGUAGUCAUGUAAUUCGUUGGCUUAUGGUGAAGAAUACUUAUAAAAUAUAUUUGUUAUAAUUAAAUAAUAUAUUAGUGUUUGUUUCAUA